GAAUCUGGACAUAUAGUCUGAGGAAGGAUCCCAAACUGAAUCUUCACCUGUCCAUGUUUUCCCAGAGAUGCUGCCUGACCUGCUGAGUUACUCCAGCA